GACGAACGCUGGCGGCGUGCCUAACACAUGCAAGUCGAGCGAGUGGAGUUCUUCGGAACAAAGCUAGCGGCGGACGGGUGAGUAACACGUGGGCAACCUGCCUCAUAGAGGGGAAUAGCCUCCCGAAAGGGAGAUUAAUACCGCAUAAGAUUGUAGCUUCGCAUGAAGUAGCAAUUAAAGGAGCAAUUCGCUAUGAGAUGGGCCCGCGGCGCAUUAGCUAGUUGGUGAGGUAACGGCUCACCAAGGCGACGAUGCGUAGCCGACCUGAGAGGGUGAUCGGCCACAUUGGGACUGAAACACGGCCCAGACUCCUACGGGAGGCAGCAGUGGGGAAUAUUGCACAAUGGGGGAAACCCUGAUGCAGCAACGCCGCGUGAGUGAUGACGGCCUUCGGGUUGUAAAGCUCUGUCUUCAGGGACGAUAAUGACGGUACCUGAGGAGGAAGCCACGGCUAACUACGUGCCAGCCGCCGCGGUAAAAC
rnacentral:rRNA from 1 species